AUUAUAUUGUAUAUAAUAUAAAUAUAAACAUGACACAAAAAUAAUUGUCUCUAAGAAAAAGUUUAUGUCUUUUAAUGUGUUAGUGUUUCUUGUUAUUAGAUAUUGAUAUUACUUAACUCACUAUUUUUAAUUUUGACUUCGCUACUAGAAAGCUCAGAGCUAAAUUUUGUGUUCAGGGCAUAAAUAAUAAAUCAGUUUGAAAUGAGAUGGUAAAACACAAUAGAUAUUUUUAUUUUUAAAUUCCUCAGGGAAAUACGAUUAUAGCCCCCACCACAGGUGUGCAUUAAAUGGUUGGAGAGAAAAACCUCAGAAUACUGUAGCCAGGAAGGGGUUGAUUUUGCACAUAUAAGUGCCAGAGAAUGACGUUUUUUGAUUAGUGAAGAUUUUUUGAGGUGGUAAUAAUUACAGGUGACCUUGAGCUGGUGACGUGCAGGUGUUGUCCCAAAUGCUUUACACACACGCCAUCAUACUCCUCAUGGGAUCCGCCAUGUUGUCUCAUCCCCAUUGUAUGAAGAGGAGACGGUUUAAUGAGAGACGGCUGACAAAGGACAAUGUCAGUAUGGGAACUCUAGUCUCCAAGGCUCUAAAGGCCACAUUUAACCUCAGUGAGGUACCUACUCCCAGACGGUCCAGGGAAGGUGCUCAGUCUCUAAGCUGGGCGUGGCACCACCAUCCCCGGCCCCUGAGGCAGCAUCCUCUGAACCGGUCAGCAUCUGGACAAAGGCUCUGCGGGUCUGCACUGGGCCACUCCGGGCAUCCACAGGUUGCAAAGGCAUUUGAGAGCAGUUCUGGUAACGCACAAGUGUUCUUAUUGCUUAUUUCACAUAGACUGUUAGUUCAGGGCUUGCCUUGAAGGACACACCACUGUUGGCUGAAAUUUCCAUCCCAAAAUCGAUGGUACCAAAUUAUGGUUUCAGAGUCAGUGUAACAUACCAGAUCCCACAGAUCACCACCUUCAACAGAGAUGUGCGACUUCCGGGAAACCACAGAACUAUAGUUUCUGACUUAUGGCAUCUACUUUUUCUGGAAAUAAAGCGGAUCAACAUAAAACCCAUCUUAAAGUGCCAGAGUAUUCCCUGACUACAGGACAUUAAGCCAUCUGCGCUCAACCUCGGGGAUUUCACAUGCACGUCCACUUACUGACGUUCCAUGAUCUCUCACUACAAUUUAGGAAGCUUAAUCCUCUGGGGUGGGAGCCCCCAACUCCUGUGAUGGGAGAAUUUAAUGAUAAUACCACUACUGAUGCAGAGAGAGCAUCGUUCCUACCUUCUUACUUCCAUGGACACAUUUUAUUACUUUUCUUCCCAUGGACUCAAAGAUUUGAAACACAAACCACAUUUAUUAAGUGACAUACCCCGUUUGAGUAAUCCAAUAGUCCUCACCAUUAUUCAAAUUGAACCUUUAACUUCUGAUUGAUAUGAGCUACCAGCUUAAAAUACUUUCACUAAAAGAAAAAUGUUCUAGUGAGUGUACAUAGAAGGAGUUGUUGGGGCCGGCCCGGGGGCGCAGUGGUUAAGUGCACACAUUCCACUUUGGUGGCCCAGGGUUCGCCGGUUCGGAUCCCAGGUGCGGGCAUGGCACCGCUCAUCAAGCCAUGCUGUGGCAGGCGUCCCACAUAUAAAGUAGAGGAAGAUGGUCAUGGAUGUUAGCUCAGGGUCAGUCUUCCUCAGCAAAAAGAGGAGGAUUGGUGGCAGAUGUUAGCUCAGGCUAAUCUUCCUCAAAAAAAAAAAAAAAAAAAAGAAGGAGUUCUUAAUCUGGGGUCCAUGAGCUUCACAAAACACAUGCACAUUUCUCUUGAUAGGUGGUGCAUAUUCUUAGGCGUAUACUGGAAUACAGCUCUCUUGGGGGCUGUAUCAGAAGGUUGUACAAAAGGUUAAGUACCAGUGCCAAACAGCCUUAUUAUGAUAAUAUUUGAUUAUCAUUAGAAUUCUUAAAAUCCUGGUAAUUUCUAGCAGUAAUUAAGGCCAAUGAACCUUUGUCAACCCCUGGAAGUUCCAGAACCUCAGAUGGGGCAGCACUAAGGAGAGACCACCUCAGACGAAUUCUAAAUGCCUCGGUGAUCUCUUCCUGACCAGUUUUUAACAUCCUCCUCAAGAAGAAGUACAAGGCAAUGAAUUUCUCUUUUAUUCAAAACAUUAAGAAAUUGUAGCAUAGCGACUUAGAAAACCUUCUCAAACAGUAACAGCAUGAAUAGACAUCACGUAUCAUGCGCAGAACCUUUCUCGUUUUUUAUUAAGGGUCAUCAACCAGGGCAACAUUCGUGUUCCACUCAUCGGCUUUUCAGACCAAAGAACAAGGCACACAAAACUCCAUCCCACAAAUGCAAACGAGGAAAAAGUGCUUCGUGUCGUCCUGUGGCCAGCUAAGAGGGAGAGAUGGGGAGGGGACCCAGAGACAGAGAGAGGGUGAGGAAAGGAAAGGAAAGAAAGAAAGUGACAGGGACAUGGAGAUAGACUUGCAGGGGAAGAGAGGGACCUACACACUGUAACAGCAACAUGACCCAGAAGACACAGGAAGACAGGAACAGAUGCUCAGCAAAGUUAACGACUUUAGGAAAGUCUUUAAAAACCUUGUUGCUAUUGGAACGAUGGGCAGAAACCCGGGCCUCUUAACUAUUGAUAUUCGCACCCAGUGCAAAAGAGACCAUGUUAUGAUGCUGCGCACCUUGACCUCACAGUCAGUUCACUCCCAACCUGCUGGGGCACGUCCAGAGGGGACCUCCUCCCCCAGGACUGGAGCGGCAGAUGCCAUGGGGUGGGGGAGGUGGGGCAGCCAGAGCAUCACAGGGCUUGAGUCUCAAUUUCACCUCCUCACGGUCGCUAACUUUGCCUCUCUGGGAUUAAUACGCUCAUUUUAAAUAAAAGCAAUCUAGCUCUCUGCAUUCAAACAGGGGUCAGAGAAGAAAAGCUAUUCAGUGGGGAGGGUUUUUGUUCUGGCAACUCAUCUGGUGGCUGAUCUAGCUCCCAGGGAACUCAGUGCUUCCUGUCUAACUCAAUUUGUGCCUAGCACGAGAGAGAGAGAGAGAGAGAGAGAGAGAGAAAGAGACAGAGAGAGAGAGAGAGAGGGAGAGAGGGAGGGAGAGAGAUUAGAGCAAAGACCUCCACGAGAAAAAUAGAAAAUCGGUUUUCAAAAAUGUAAGGCUUCAAUGGAAAAUAUAAUUAAGACUUGACACGUUAAAGUCUAACGAGAUAAACAUUAAAGUAGUUAUUGACUUUUACAAAAUAAGUCAAAAAUUGAGGUAAUACAUUACUCUUCUAUAAUCAGCCUUAUCUGAUUAUAGCACUUUUUUUCCUUCUCAAUCUUAGAGUUAAAUACACUCUGACCCAAGGAGGAAAGAUCUAGAAAUCAGCCUGGAGUUAGCCGGGAAGGGUAUGUCUCCUAUAAGGCAGAGGAGUUUUACUCUUUACUCAAAUAAUAAAUAGAAAUUUUCUUCUUUUUAAAAUCACUAUAUACCACGGUACAAAGCCACUACGAUUUUCACACACUGAUUAAAAGUACGGAAAACGCACACAUCUACCCCGUGACCCCCAGGAACUCCCUCCCCGCUUUCUCCCUCAAAGGAAUCGCUCCUCCAGCCCAGGACGUUUUGUUCCACGUCUGGGGACAGCUUUCUGCAUUCUUCCCCUCUCCUCUGGUUACUCCUUCUUUCUGGAGCACAAAAGGUAUUUUGUGAGCAGCGCUUCAAAUACAAACAAAUUUCACCAGAAGCUGCCCCUCGCUCCCGCUCGCACCUCAACGCAGCCACUGAAAACAACGCCUGCAGCUGUGCUUGAGAAGACCUGUGUGGGUGUGUGUGUGUGUGUGAGUGUGAGACUGUGUGUGAGUGUGUAUCUGUGUGAGAGCAAGUGUGUGAGGCUGUGUGAGAAAGUGUGUGCAUGCGUGUGAGAGCGAGUGUGAGGGUGUGUAUGCAUGUAAGCAUGAGUACGUGUGAGUGUGAGGGCACUGUAUGUAUACGUGUGUGUGCAGGAGUAUGACUGUGUGUAAGGGUGCGUAUGUGUGUGAGCGUGAGUGAGCAUGUGUGUGCACUCGUGUGAAUGUGUGAGGGCAAGUGUGUGAGGGUGUGUGUGAGCAUGUAAGCAAAUGAGUUUGUGCGAGGGUAGGCAUGGUGUGUGUGUUUGUGCACAUGCAUGUGUGAGCGUGAGUGUGAGUGUGUGUGUGUGUAUGAGUGGGAGAGAGUGUGCGUGAGAGCAUUGCGUGAGCAAGUGUAAGUGUGUGAGUGUAAGGGUAAGCAUCCGUGAGCAUGUGAGCAUGUACGUGUGUGUGAGAGUGUGUGUGGGGCAGACUUGCCCGCGGCUGGCAGAGAGGCCCGCAGAGCACGCAGCCCGCGGAGAGUCGUGUCGUGAGCAUGGCACCGUUGCCAUCACUACGUCCAUCCACCAGGUGGGCUAGCUCCUGGUGGGCUAGCCCCUUCGCCUUCCGAGUUCGAACAUUCGGUUACCUUCCAUUUUCAGGCUUUCCAAUACCCGCAACGUCUCUUCUUUCGAGAAGAAACAAAAUCACAAAUGCAGCGCCACGUCCGGUUGUGCAACAGACCCCGCGCUCCUGGUCCCCCAUCCCUCCUCGUGGCUGUCACCCACUGUUCAGACCGGGGCACCCCGGCCCAGCACCUGCAGAGAGUGACACCCGCCUACCGAGGACUCCGCAGCAGAGGGCCUCAACGAACCUGAGGGGACCAGGGCGGAGAGGCGUUUUCACCGCUGCUUACACCCCCACGAGGCAAGGACACCAGGAUGGUGCAGAAGGCAGACUUGUGGGGUCGAGACCACCAGUGUGGAGAGGGAGGGGCGUCGGCUGUCCGGCUGGGGAGCGGGGAGGCGCCUGGGCAGGAGGUGGGCCAUGGGGGUCGGCGAGGCUGUCUGUGUCUCCCCCUAGGGCGCCCGGGUGGAGCAGCACGUCCAGGGGGUGGGCGGUGAGCGUCGAGUGAGACCCUCUCGUCCCACCAGGCCCACCUGGCACACAGGUGCUCAGGUGCCACAGUGUGGCCAGGAGGCAGCGGCGGGGACUAGGAAGCCCACCUGGCUCCCAGGCGCAGGGAGGUGGGCGUGCAGCGUCACCUGGCUCACAGGUGCCAGGAGGCGGGAGCCGGCCUCGGGAGGCGUCCGUCCUUCGGGUCACAGCGUGCUCAGGUGCGGCAGCGCGUCCAGGGGACCGGCGCGACCGGCCGCCGACUCCACGCCGCGCAGCCACUCGGUGCACUUGCGGACCAGGCCCUCGUCCACCACCUCGGCCUCCUCCUCGUACUCCACGUCGUCGUACUUGUGCCGCUCGUUGAGCAGCGACACCUUGAGCACCGGGCGCAGGUCGGCGGGCCGCCGGGCGGAGCCGGGCGCCGCGAGAGACCCGCGGCCGUGGCCCGGGGGCAGGGGGCGAGCAGCCGCCUGGCGUCGGCCGAGGGCGAGGGGAGCGGCCGCCGGGGCCGCGCCAGCAGCUGCUUCUCCAUGUGGCGCCUCUGGAUGAGCAGCACGGCCUCGGGGGUGAGGCUCAGGGAGAAGCGCAGCGCGUCGUCGGGCCCUGCCCCCGCGGCCGUCCCCGAGCCGGCGGUCCGCGCCCCCGAGGCGGUGGCCCCCGCGGGGCUGUGGCCGGAGCCGGCCGGCCGG
rnacentral:lncRNA from 1 species